CGGCACAGCCCAUUUGGAUCCUGCUUGCUAAGGCGUUAGAACUUGGCAGUCAUCUCAUUAGGAAACUACAACAGGUGAAAGUCCGGUGCCUGGCCAUUUUGUAAGCAAGCAAGCCAGUAUGGUGAAAGUCCGGUGUUGGCCAUUUUGUGAGCAAGCAAGCCAGUUGGGUGAAAGUCCGGUGUUCGCCAUUUUGUUAGCAAGCAAGCCAGUAAGGUGAAAGUCCGGUGUUGGCCAUUUUGUAAGCAAACAAGCAAGCCAGUUAGGUGAAAGUCCGGUGUUGGCCAUUUUGUAAGCAAACAAGCAAGCCAGUUAGGUGAAAGUCCGGUGUUGGCCAUUUUGUAAGCAAACAAGCAAACCAGUCAGGUGAAAGUCCGGUGUUGGCCAUUUUGUAAGCAAACAAGCAAGCCAGUUAGGUGAAAGUCCGGUGUUGGCCAUUUUGUAAGCAAACAAGCAAGCCAGUUAGGUGAAAGUCCGGUGUUGGCCAUUUUGUAAGCAAACAAGCAAGCCAGUUAGGUGAAAGUCCGGUGUUGGCCAUUUUGUAAGCAAACAGGCAAGCCAGUUAGGUGAAAGUCCGGUGUUGGCCAUUUUGUAAGCAAACAAGCAAACCAGUCAGGUAUGUAAAAAAAUAAAAGCUACUUUACCUAUCUCUCGCUGUGAUGACAACUUGACCCCAACAUUCGCAGUUUCCACCGGAGGUCACACGACCAAAGAUGGUUGUUCCUUGGAUGUCUGAGCGAACUUUAUCAUCCUGUUCUUGUUGUAAUUGAUUAUAUUGAAAUUGAUGGUCUCCAUUUUCUGUUGCAGGUGAAAGUCCGGUGUUGGCCAUUUUGUAAGCAAACAAGCAAGCCAGUUAGGUGAAAGUCCGGUGUUGGCCAUUUUGUAAGCAAACAAGCAAGCCAGUUAGGUGAAAGUCCGGUGUUGGCCAUUUUGUAAGCAAACAAGCAAGCCAGUUAGGUGAAAGUCCGGUGUUGGCCAUUUUGUAAGCAAACAAGCAAGCCAGUUAGGUGAAAGUCCGGUGUUGGCCAUUUUGUAAGCAAACAAGCAAGCCAGUUAGGUGAAAGUCCGGUGUUGGCCAUUUUGUAAGCAAACAGGCAAGCCAGUUAGGUGAAAGUCCGGUGUUGGCCAUUUUGUAAGCAAACAAGCAAACCAGUCAGGUGAAAGUCCGGUGUUGGCCAUUUUGUAAGCAAACAAGCAAGCCAGUUAGGUGAAAGUCCGGUGUUGGCCAUUUUGUAAGCAAACAAGCAAGCCAGUUAGGUGAAAGUCCGGUGUUGGCCAUUUUGUAAGCAAACAAGCAAACCAGUCAGUUUCCACCGGAGGUCACACGACCAAAGAUGGUUGUUCCUUGGAUGUCUGAGCGAAUAGCUGGAUUGUCACAUAUCUGUCGUGGUCAUGGGGCAGAAUGCUGAUGCUUGUCUUGUCCUCUUU